rnacentral:rRNA from 1 species
CCUGAAUCGGUUUAGGGACAAGUGCCUGGCGGGUAGUUUAACUGGGCGGUUGCCUCCUAAAAUGUAACGGAGGCGCCCAAAGGUUCCCUCAACCUGGACGGCAAUCAGGUGGCGAGUGUAAAUGCACAAGGGAGCUUGACUGCGAGACUUACAAGUCAAGCAGGGACGAAAGUCGGGAUUAGUGAUCCGGCACCCCCGAGUGGAAGGGGUGUCGCUCAACGGAUAAAAGGUACCCCGGGGAUAACAGGCUGAUCUUCCCCAAGAGUCCAUAUCGACGGGAUGGUUUGGCACCUCGAUGUCGGCUCGUCGCAUCCUGGGGCUGGAGCAGGUCCCAAGGGUUGGGCUGUUCGCCCAUUAAAGCGGCACGCGAGCUGGGUUUAGAACGUCGUGAGACAGUUCGGUCUCUAUCCGCCGCGCGCGUCAGAAACUUGAGGAAACCUGUCCCUAGUACGAGAGGACCGGGACGGACGAACCUCUGGUGCACCAGUUGUCCCGCCAGGGGCACCGCUGGAUAGCCACGUUCGGUCAGGAUAACCGCUGAAAGCAUCUAAGCGGGAAACCUUCUCCAAGAUCAGGUUUCUCACCCACUUGGUGGGAUAAGGCCCCCCGCAGAACACGGGUUCAAUAGGUCAGACCUGGAAGCUCAGUAAUGGGUGUAGGGAACUGGUGCUAACCGGCCGAAAACUUACAACACCC